GUUUCAUUUAUAUGUAUGUUAUCCAUUCAGUCUCAAAAUAAUUUUAUAUAGUAUUUUUAGUGUGCUUGCAUUUGGACAGUGACCUGUCACAUGAAUUUUGUGGGAGUUUUCUACUUGUGGCGCUCUCAGAUUUUUGGAGCAUUGUGGGUGGCAGAUUUUCAGAUUAGGAGUGCUUAACCUGUGAAAACUGAAGUGCCCACGUGUACCUGGCCACAGUGCCUUGUGGGUAAACUGUGUGCUUCUCUCCCUAGUAACACGACAGGGUUUUGGAUGCAGCCCUCCAGUCUUGAAUGGAUGUGUUCUCCUGUGCACUUAUGGAGAUUCUGCUAACUUCUAGAGCCUCAGUUUUUGUUUUUGUCUGUACAACCACCGUAAUAGUAACAGUGGUUGUUUUGAGAAUGAAAUGAAACAAUAUGUGCCAAUCACCUAGUACAGAGACUGGCACACCGUGAGUACUGGAGGUCUGUGGUUGUUUUAUUGUUUGUGGGUGAACUCUACAUUACCCAGUUUGGUUUUCAACAUAAUUUCCCAAAUAAACUAUUAGCAGUUGAAAGAAUGAGGCCAGUAACAAUCCAUUUUUCUCAAUGUUACACAUUAAAAAAAAUCAAGUCUACAAAAGAGAUCAGGCCAAGGUAGCUAACUAAUAAAAAUGCUCCAUUUACUCGAAUUCCAUCAGAAGUAAGGGAAAACCUGAAAACAGGUGGGUGAAUGUUGCACGUUUGAUGUUUAAUGAAUAAAAAAGUUUUUAAUAGAGGACUGAUCCUACAUCACUUGAAAAAUUGCAACUCAUUUUGUAAAGGAUUUGUAAAAGUAGAAACAGUUAUUUAAUGCUUUACAUUUUUCUGAUGCUUUGUUUGCCAUAGUUUCUGUAAUUCUGAUAAAAGUUCUUUUAAAAACUCAUUAGAAUGUCUUUUUAACAGAGUGGGAGUUGCAACUGCUGUAAUAAUUUUUGCUACUUUCAUAUUUAAAAAUAAUAUGCCCUCUAAACAUUUACAUUCAAGAUUUGUUUUCCCUCAGAUGUGUAAAUAACACAUAGUAAUUUGCAUCUCAUGCAUAAAUCUCAGCCUGCUGAAUACAAAUAUUCAAAAAGUUCCUUGUUGUGUUCUCUGCUUUCCAUGUUUUUGGUAGUCUAGUUGACUGAUAUUUCCAGGGAGAUGAAGAGGGGAAGGGAGUUGAUGAUUAGAACAAUAAUCUCUUAUUAUUGCUUCCUUGUAAUCAGUGGUAGGGAUUGAGAGUAGAAUAACUAGCUCAGGCUUUUACAAGGCUAAUAAAAAUAUUUCAGACUAUAGUAUUUUCCCAGAUGAAUGUACUAAAUGUGCCUUUUGCCUGUGACAUGUGUAGACGUUGCCUGAAGGGGGACUUAUCCAGAAAUCAGUGGCCCCUCGUGUUCCUUGCAAAACAGUACCAAUGCCACUACCGGGGGGCCCAGAUCGGAGGCAUUCCUGCAGCCACAGUGAGCCCUAGUGGGCUGAGCAAGCCUCAGGGAGGGUGGCCAGGACUGUGUCAUUGGGGCUUCAAGUCCCUGGGACAUUAAGUUACAAGCCGCUGUCCUCGUUGCUGCAUUGACCAUGUUGUCUGACUAAACUCUGAGGCUUGUUUUAUGCUCUGAAUUUCCUGCACCACUGGUUCCUUG
rnacentral:lncRNA from 1 species